CCUACGGGCGGCAGCAGUGGGGAAUAUUGCACAAUGGGCGCAAGCCUGAUGCAGCCAUGCCGCGUGUGUGAAGAAGGCCUUCGGGUUGUAAAGCACUUUCAGCGGGGAGGAAGGCGGUGAGGUUAAUAACCUCAUCGAUUGACGUUACCCGCAGAAGAAGCACCGGCUAACUCCGUGCCAGCAGCCGCGGUAAUACGGAGGGUGCGAGCGUUAAUCGGAAUUACUGGGCGUAAAGCGCACGCAGGCGGCCUGUCAAGUCGGAUGUGAAAUCCCCGGGCUCAACCUGGGAACUGCAUUCGAAACUGGCAGGCUAGAGUCUUGUAGAGGGGGGUAGAAUUCCAGGUGUAGCGGUGAAAUGCGUAGAGAUCUGGAGGAAUACCGGUGGCGAAGGCGGCCCCCUGGACAAAGACUGACGCUCAGGUGCGAAAGCGUGGGGAGCAAACAGGAUUAGAUACCCCUGUAGUC
rnacentral:rRNA from 1 species